AGCAGCCGCGGUAAUUCCAGCUCCAAUAGCGUAUAUUAAAGUUGUUGCAGUUAAAAGCUCGUAGUUGAAUUUCGGGAUUGACACAUCGGUCGUGCCUUAAGGGGUAUGAACUGGUGUAGUCAAUUUCUCACCUUCUGGAGAACCGCGAUGCCCUUAAUUGGGUGCCGCGGGGAACCAGGACCUUUACUUUGAAAAAUUAGAGUGUUUAAAGCAGGCAUUUUGCUUGAAUACAUUGGCAUGGAAUAAUAAAAUAGGACGGCAUGAUUCUAUUUUGUUGGUUUCUAGGAUCACCGUAAUGAUUAAUAGGGAUAGUUGGGGGCAUUAGUAUUCAAUUGUCAGAGGUGAAAUUCUUGGAUUUAUUGAAGACUAACUACUGCGAAAAGCAUUUACCAAGGAUGUUUUCAUUAAUCAAGAACGAAAGUUAGGGAUCGAAGACGAUCAGAUACCGUCGUAGUCUUAAACCAUAAACUAUAGACCGAACUAGGAAUACAGACGAUGUUAAUUUUUAAUGUACUCGUUU
rnacentral:misc_RNA from 1 species